rnacentral:rRNA from 1 species
UGGGGAAUAUUGCACAAUGGGCGAAAGCCUGAUGCAGCGACGCCGCGUGAGCGAAGAAGUAUUUCGGUAUGUAAAGCUCUAUCAGCAGGGAAGAAAAUGACGGUACCUGACUAAGAAGCUCCGGCUAAAUACGUGCCAGCAGCCGCGGUAAUACGUAUGGAGCAAGCGUUAUCCGGAUUUACUGGGUGUAAAGGGAGCGUAGGCGGUAAGGCAAGUCUGAUGUGAAAGGCCGGGGCUCAACCCUGGGACUGCAUUGGAAACUGCUUAACUGGAGUGUCGGAGGGGCAAGUGGAAUUCCUAGUGUAGCGGUGAAAUGCGUAGAUAUUAGGAGGAACACCAGUGGCGAAGGCGGCUUGCUGGACGAUGACUGACGCUGAGGCUCGAAAGCGUGGGGAGCAAACAGG